rnacentral:rRNA from 1 species
GACGGGGGUGCAAGCGUUGUUCGGAAUCAUUGGGCGUAAAGCGCGUGCAGGUGGCUUUGCAAGUCAGAUGUGAAAGCCCAGGGCUUAACCCUGGAAGUGCAUUUGAAACUGCUCAGCUUGAGUAUGGAAGAGGGUCGUGGAAUUCCAGGUGUAGUGGUGAAAUACGUAGAUAUCUGGAGGAACACCGGUGGCGAAGGCGGCGACCUGGUCCAAUACUGACACUCAUACGCGAAAGCGUGGGGAUCAAACAGG